UAGGGAAUCUUCUACAAUGGACGCAAGUCUGAUGGAGCAACGCCGCGUGAGUGAAGAAGGUUUUCGGAUCGUAAAGCUCUGUUGUUGGUGAAGAAGGAUAGAGGCAGUAACUGGUCUUUAUUUGACGGUAAUCAACCAGAAAGUCACGGCUAACUACGUGCCAGCAGCCGCGGUAAUACGUAGGUGGCAAGCGUUGUCCGGAUUUAUUGGGCGUAAAGCGAGCGCAGGCGGAAUGAUAAGUCUGAUGUGAAAGCCCACGGCUCAACCGUGGAACUGCAUCGGAAACUGUCAUUCUUGAGUGCAGAAGAGGAGAGUGGAAUUCCAUGUGUAGCGGUGGAAUGCGUAGAUAUAUGGAAGAACACCAGUGGCGAAGGCGGCUCUCUGGUCUGCAACUGACGCUGAGGCUCGAAAGCAUGGGUAGCGAACAGG
rnacentral:rRNA from 2 species